CUGGGGCUCCCCAGGCUCAGAUAAUAGAGAAAGCAUGGCAUCCAGGGUUGCCAGGUAACUGGACUGGACUCUGGGCUGAUGCCUUCAAAGCUCAGUCUUCCCCCUCCUAUCUUAGAGCCCCUGGAGUCAAAGGCAAUCAUGAAGGCAGGGGUGGGUGGAUCUUAACAUGGUUGUAUGGGAAGGGAGGAUUUGGCUGCUCUUGGCCUCUCUCAAGAACGAGCAGCUGUGGGAGCAGCUGAGUGACAGAAUGAUAACUCAGUUGUGAAGUCUCCUUCACAAUUAGCUCAAGGCCCAGGGAUGUCAUCAAAGGAAAGGUCAAUGCCUCCCCGGUGUCAUCCUCCCAGUGUGGGGUCUUCCACCUCAGCUUGGGAAGGGGCCAGAGCAGAUGCUGGUCUCCAGGGGUUCUGCUUAGAAAAUUGCUCAUCAGUGAACUGUAUGGAGGAGGAGGAGAACUGCCUCCAUGUUCCCUCCUAGGAAAAGAGUGACUCUCCACUUGAUGAAGUCCCCUCCAGGUUCAGAGGACAAACAGACAGCUCCCAAGUACAUCCUCCUUUCCCAGAUGGCCUCAGCAGACACAGCACUCGUGACUUGCCAUAAACACUCCAGGGGAGGCAGAUGACUCAUGCUGAACUCACCAGAAGCCGGCCAUCCCCAGGGUGGCUGGAAAGCAAAGCUCUCUUGAUGUACACGCUGGCAGAGGGCCCCUCACAGAACCCAUCCUCACCAGGCAAACAAACCAACCACCAGAAAGCUCAAGUCUCUUCAGCUUGCUACAGCAGAUGAGUGAGCAGUCUACCAGUCUAGUGCUCGUUCUGGUGCAGACAUGCAGGUCCCAGAGAGCCUCUUCACAGAGAGAUGCCAGUUUGGACAAAAGGUUCAGAGAGUCGGAGGCACCUAGGCUCACAUCCACGUUUUUCUUCUCAUCAACAUCCCUAUGUAAAAGAAGAUGUUUGUGGAGACCUAAAACCAGGAUCCAGAGUGGCUGGCUGCUUAUGCAACUGUCGGUGGCUCCAAGGGUAUGCAUCAUGAGAGAGGCCACCUUGGAUACUGUCCUGCCUCCUUGA
rnacentral:lncRNA from 1 species